rnacentral:rRNA from 1 species
UACAGAGGGGGCAAGCGUUAUUCGGAAUUAUUGGGCGUAAAGGGCGCGUAGGCGGCCUGGCAAGUGGAAGGUGAAAUCCCUCGGCUUAACCGAGGAACUGCCCUCCAAACUGCUUGGCUUGAGACCGGGAGAGGUGAGUGGAAUUCCCAGUGUAGCGGUGAAAUGCGUAGAUAUUGGGAGGAACACCUAUGGCGAAGGCAGCUCGCUGGGACGUUACUGACGCUGAGACGCGAAAGCGUGGGGAGCAAACAGG